UGGUUCCCAGCCGGCGCCAGGACAGGUGUUGGGGGCCCACCUCCUCACUGGCCAGCCCGAUCCAGAGUGGGGUGCGCAGCCCCCGGGAGGCCUGCGUGAGAAAGGCCUGGGUGUAGGGGUCAGGCACGCGGGCCAGGCUGGCGUUGCGGCUCUCACACAGCAGGAGGGCAUCGUGCCAGCUCAGAGGCUUCUGCAGCAGCCGGAAGGUGCCGUUGAGAAAAGGUAUAAGACUCUCUUGAAAUAAAAUUCUGAAGACCGUUAAGAACUCCCGGACGCCAGGGGCUGGCUGCACUCCACUACAGGACAAAGGUUUACGGAUUACACGAUCUAGUGCUGACUAAUCUAAUCUUCACAAUCCGGCUAAGUGGCGUUACCACCUUGGCAAAGCAAGCACGGGCGGAAGCUCACACUCCUGAUGCCGCGCAGACAAGAAAAUCACACUCCUCUCUUCCUGGGACGAGCUCUUGUGGGCCACGAGGUAAAAACAAUGAAGGUCUAAUCAGAUCUGAUCAAUCAACCCACGAGGACAGAAGCAACCACUUUGGGAAAGAAAUUCACACUCUCAAAGGAACAUUUUCAAGAUCUGUUUCGAAACCUAUCCCUUCUGAUUCAUGUUAUGGCCCCAAACUUUCCUAUCUGCACACUCAAAACCCUUGGGAAAAGAAUUUCCUAAAUGGUGUUC